rnacentral:rRNA from 2 species
AUUUAACUUGAGAGUUUGAUCCUGGCUCAGAGCGAACGCUGGCGGCAUGCUUAACACAUGCAAGUCGAACGAGAAACUAGACUUCGGUUUAGUGGAAAGUGGCAGACGGGUGAGUAACGCGUGGGAAU